rnacentral:tRNA from 1 species
GUGGAUAUAGCUCAGUUGGUUAGAGCAUCAGGUUGUGGUCCUGAGGGCCGUGGGUUCGAGUCCCAUUAUCCACCCCA